rnacentral:rRNA from 1 species
AUGUCCUUGAUUAUCCCUCGGUUUAUCUGUCUACAGGGAGAUGAACUGUUGGUGAAGGUGAACAAGCUGACAUCAAUAAAGACUCAGCUACCCUACACGUAUUACUCCCUUCCUUUCUGCAAGCCGAAUACCAUAGUUGACAGCGCUGAAAACCUUGGCGAGGUUCUCCGUGGUGAUCGAAUUGAGAACUCUCCUUACGUGUUUCAAAUGAGAGAGCCCAAGAUGUGCCAGAUUAUCUGCAAAAUAACUGUUACUGAGAAAGAAGCAAAGGAGCUCAAGGAGAAGAUUGAGGAUGAAUAUCGUGUCAACAUGGUUCUUGACAAUCUGCCACUGGUUGUUCCAGUUCAAAGGCCAGAUAGGAACACUGUCGCCUACCAAGGUGGAUAUCAUGUUGGUGUCAAGGGCCAGUAUGCUGGAAGCAAGGAUGAGAAGCACUUCAUCCACAACCAUUUGUCAUUUUCGGUUAAGUUUCACAAGGAUGAUGAUUCAGAACUUUCUAGGAUAGUGGGAUUUGAGGUCAAACCAUUCAGCAUCAAGCAUCAGUUUGAUGGGAAUUGGAAUGACGCAAACACUCGUUUGACCACAUGUGAUCCUCAUAACAGCAAGUUUGUAGUAAAUUCUGAAACUCCUCAGGAGGUUGAGGUCGGCAAAGAUAUCAUAUUCACCUAUGAUGUUCGCUUUGAGGAGAGUGAAAUUAAGUGGGCAUCUCGAUGGGACACCUAUCUGUUGAUGUCUGAUGAUCAGAUUCACUGGUUCUCUAUCGUUAACUCUCUCAUGAUCGUGCUUUUCCUAUCUGGUAUGGUGGCCAUGAUCAUGAUGCGCACCCUGUACAGAGAUAUAUCUAGGUACAACCAGCUUGAAACUCAAGAGGAGGCACAGGAGGAAACUGGCUGGAAGCUUGUCCACGGAGAUGUUUUCCGCCCUCCAGUCAACUCUGAUUUGCUUUGCGUCUUUGUUGGCACUGGAGUCCAAUUCUUUGGCAUGCUGCUGGUUACGAUGAUCUUUGCUGUUCUGGGUUUCCUCUCUCCAUCGAACCGUGGAGGAUUGAUGACUGCAAUGCUUCUCGUCUGGGUCCUGAUGGGGUUGAUUGCUGGCUAUUCUUCUUCGCGACUCUACAAGAUGUUCAAGGGUGCAGAGUGGAAGCAGAUAACCCUGCGCACGGCUUUCCUGUUCCCAGGGAUUGCCUUUGUUAUCUUCUUCAUCUUGAAUGCCCUUAUAUGGGGGGAGAAGUCAUCCGGUGCUGUCCCAUUCACCACCAUGUUUGCCCUGGUCCUCCUCUGGUUCGGCAUCUCAGUGCCCCUCGUGUUUGUUGGGAGCUACCUCGGGUUCAAGAAGCCCGCCAUGGAGCCUCCAGUGAAGACCAACAAGAUCCCGCGUCAGAUCCCCGAGCAAGCCUGGUACAUGAACCCGCUCUUCACCAUCCUGAUCGGCGGCAUCCUGCCGUUUGGCGCGGUCUUCAUCGAGCUCUUCUUCAUCCUCACCUCGAUCUGGCUGCACCAGUUCUACUACAUCUUCGGGUUCCUCUUCCUGGUGUUUGUGAUCCUCAUCAUCACGUGCGCAGAGAUCACCAUUGUGCUCUGCUACUUCCAGCUGUGCAGCGAGGACUACAACUGGUGGUGGAGGUCAUACCUCACCUCAGGGUCGUCGGCGCUGUACCUCUUCCUGUAUGCUGGGUUCUACUUCUGGACCAAGCUGCAGAUCAGCAAGCUGGUGUCGGGCAUCCUCUACUUCGGGUACAUGCUGCUCGCCUCCUUCUCCUUCUUUGUGCUCACCGGAACCAUCGGCUUCUGCGCCUGCUUCUGGUUCACAAGGAUGAUCUACUCGUCCGUGAAGAUCGAUUAG